AGCGAACGCUGGCGGCAGGCCUAACACAUGCAAGUCGAGCGCCCCGCAAGGGGAGCGGCAGACGGGAGAGUAACACGUGGGAACGUACCCUUCAGUUCGGAACAACCCAGGGAAACUUGGGCUAAUACCGGAUACGCCCGAAAGGGGAAAGAUUCAUCGCUGAAGGAUCGGCCCGCGUCUGAUUAGCUAGUUGGUGGGGUAAUGGCCCACCAAGGCGACGAUCAGUAGCUGGUCUGAGAGGAUGAUCAGCCUCACUGGGACUGAGACACGGCCCAGACUCCUACGGGAGGCAGCAGUGGGGAAUAUUGGACAAUGGGCGCAAGCCUGAUCCAGCCAUGCCGCGUGGAUGAUGAAGGCCCUAGGGUUGUAAAGUCCUUUCGGCGGGGAAGAUAAUGACGGUACCCGCAGAAGAAGCCCCGGCUAACUUCGUGCCAGCCGCCGCAGUAAUAC
rnacentral:rRNA from 1 species